GAUCAUGGCUCAGGAUGAACGCUAGCUACAGGCUUAACACAUGCAAGUCGCGGGGCAGCAUGAAUUUAGCUUGCUAAAUUUGAUGGCGACCGGCGCACGGGUGAGUAACGCGUAUCCAACCUUCCCCUGUCCACGGGAUAGCCCGUCGAAAGGCGGAUUAAUACCGUAUGAGGUCACAUGACGGCAUCAGAGUGUGACGAAAGGUUUUGCGGACAAGGAUGGGGGAUGCGUCCGAUUAGCUUGACGGCGGGGUAACGGCCCACCGUGGCGACGAUCGGUAGGGGUUCUGAGAGGAAGGUCCCCCACAUUGGAACUGAGACACGGUCCAAACUCCUACGGGAGGCAGCAGUGAGGAAUAUUGGUCAAUGGGCGAGAGCCUGAACCAGCCAAGUAGCGUGCAGGAUGACGGCCCUAUGGGUUGUAAACUGCUUUUAUAAGGGAAUAAAGUGAGUCUCGUGAGACUUUUUGCAUGUACCUUAUGAAUAAGGACCGGCUAAUUCCGUG
rnacentral:rRNA from 1 species